GGAGGUAAAGGAAGGUGUCAGCUGAGACUGCUCAAGUGCACCCUGCUUCAACGGCCUCUUAACUGGUCUUUCCCCAUCAGUCUCGCUUGCCCCCAAAGCCUUCAGGAAUACACUGCAUUCCAGAAUAAAUCAAUUUAUUCCAGAUUCAUCUCCAGAAAACACUUUUUGGGGAACAGGUGGAUAAAUUCUCCCCUACAGUGGUAGCGCAUUGUGAAGACAUCAGCCCAUAGCACUGAGUAGGGUCUGGCUCAGGUCCUUUGAGAACAAAAUCAUACAAGAAUUUGUGUUCACCAUCCAAUUACACUGGACACAAAGAGGAUGUAUAAUAUAAUAGCUGACAUGUAAAACUAUCUAUUAAGGAUUUUACAUUGGAUUUCAUAUCCAUUGGCUACGACAAAUUAAAUUACAUGUCCGUUAAGUCAGGGACAUAUAAAAGGUAUAUUCUCUUGGGGUAAGAGGGAGAUUAGUUCUCGGUUCACAACAUGAAAAGAUUUUAGUUUGAACCUGGGGCUCAUGAAAGAUA
rnacentral:lncRNA from 1 species